AUUGAGCGCUGGCGGUAGGCUUAACACAUGCAAGUCGAACGGUAGCAGGAGAAAGCUUGCUUUCUUGCUGACGAGUGGCGGACGGGUGAGUAAUGCUUGGGAAUCUGGCUUAUGGAGGGGGAUAACUACGGGAAACUGUAGCUAAUACCGCGUAAUAUCUUCGGAUUAAAGACUGGGACUUUUAGCCAUUCGCCAUAAGAUGAGCCCAAGUGGGCUUAGGUAGUUGGUGGGGUAAAGGCCUACCAAGCCGACGAUCUCUAGCUGGUCUGAGAGGAUGAUCAGCCACACACGAUCUGACACACGCUCCAGACUCCUUCGGGAGGCAGGAGUGGGGAAUGUUGCGCAAUGGGGGCGACCCUGACGCAGCCAUGCCGCGUGAAUGAAGAAGGCCUUCGGGUUGUAAAGUUCUUUCGGUGGUGAGGAAGGCUAAUAUGUUAAUAGCAUAUUAGAUGGACGUUAGCCACAGAAGAGGCACCGGCAAACUCCUU
rnacentral:rRNA from 1 species